rnacentral:rRNA from 1 species
CACGUAGGGUGCGAGCGUUGUCCGGAAUUAUUGGGCGUAAAGAGCUCGUAGGCGGUGUGUCACGUCGGCCGUGAAAACCUGCAGCUUAACUGUGGGCGUGCGGUCGAUACGGGCAUCACUGGAGUUCGGCAGGGGAGACUGGAAUUCCUGGUGUAGCGGUGAAAUGCGCAGAUAUCAGGAAGAACACCAAUGGCGAAGGCAGCUCUCUGGUACGUGACUGACGCUGAGACGCGAAAGCGUGGGGAGCGAACAGG